rnacentral:rRNA from 1 species
UGGGGAAUUUUGGGCAAUGGGCGAAAGCCUGACCCAGCAACGCCGCGUGAGGGAUGAAGUAUUUCGGUAUGUAAACCUCGAAAGAAUGGGAAGAAUAAAUGACGGUACCAUUUAUAAGCUCCGGCUAACUACGUGCCAGCAGCCGCGGUAAUACGAAGGGAGCAAGCGUUGUUCGGAUUUACUGGGCGUCAAGGGCGCGUAGGCGGCGCGGUAAGUCACUUGUGAAAUCUCUGAGCUUAACUCAGAACGGCCAAGUGGUACUGCUGUGCUAGAGUGCGGAAGAGGCAAGCGGAAUUCUGUGUGUCGCGGUGAAAUGCGUAGAUAUCAAGAGGAACACCUGAGGCGAAGGCGGGU